AGCGUAGGCGGUUUUUUAAGUGGGGUGUGAAAUCCCUGGGCUUAACCCAGGAAUUGCAUUCCAUACUGGGGAACUAGAGUGCAGGAGAGGAAAGUGGAAUUCCAAGUGUAGCGGUGAAAUGCGUAGAGAUUUGGAGGAACACCAGUGGCGAAGGCGACUUUCUGGACUGUAACUGACGCUGAGGCUCGAGAGCGUGGGGAGCAAACAGGAUUAGAUACCCUGGUAGUCCACGCUGUAAACGAUGAAUACUAGGUGUUGGGGGCGAAGCCCUCAGUGCCGCAGUUAACACAUUAAGUAUUCCGCCUGGGGAGUACGAUCGCAAGAUUAAA
rnacentral:rRNA from 1 species